AGCAGCCGCGGUAAUUCCAGCUCCAAUAGCGUAUAUUAAAGUUGUUGCAGUUAAAAAGCUCGUAGUUGAAUUUCGGGAUCAAUUGAUUGGUCAUGCCUACGGUGUGUACUAGUCAUAUUGGUUCUCACCUUCUAAUGAACCUUAAUGUCAUUCACUUGAUGUUUUGGGGAAUUAGGACUGUUACCUUGAAAAAAUUAGAGUGUUUAAAGCAGGCUUACGCUUGAAUACAUUAGCAUGGAAUAACGGAAUAGGACGUUCGAUCUUAUUUUGUUGGUUUCUAAGAUUGACGUAAUGAUUAAUAGGGAUAGUUGGGGGCAUUAGUAUUCAAUUGUCAGAGGUGAAAUUCUUGGAUUUAUUGAAGACUAACUACUGCGAAAGCAUUUGCCAAGGAUGUUUUCAUUAAUCAAGAACGAAAGUUAGGGGAUCGAAGACGAUCAGAUACCGUCGUAGUCUUAACCAUAAACUAUGCCGACUAGGGAUCGGAUGAUGUUAAUUUUUAAUGACUCAUUCGGCGCCUUAA
rnacentral:rRNA from 1 species